rnacentral:rRNA from 1 species
GAUGAACGCUAGCGGCAGGCCUAAUACAUGCAAGUCGAACGGGAUCCACAUCACAGCUUGCUUUCGUCUGGGUAGAGUGGCGCACGGGUGCGUAACGCGUGAGCAACCUACCCUUGUCAGGGGGAUAGCCCGGCGAAAGUCGGAUUAAUACCGCAUUACAUCAUUUAGAUGCAUCUUUCGAUGAUCAAAGAUUUAUCAGACAAGGAUGGGCUCGCGUGCCAUUAGCUGGUUGGUAAUGUAACGGCUUACCACGACUGCGAUGUCUAGGGGCACUGAGAGGAGAAUCCCCGACAUGAGAACAGGGCCAGCGACCAUACGACUAAGGGAGGCAGCAGUAAGGUACAGUGGGCAAUGGACGGAAGUCUGAACCAGCCAUGCCGCGUGCAGGAAGACGGCCCUAUGGGAUGUAAGCUGCUUUUAGACGGGAACAACCGUCGGUACGUGUACCGGUAUGACAGUACCGGAAGAAUAAGCACCGGCUAACUCCGUG